CGAAAUUCUCCUUCGUUUCUCCACCAAAUCGAUCGAGUAAGGCACCAGGAACCCGACAGAAUUGCAAAGGAGACCUUCGAAGGGUCGCAGUAGCUUGGACCAUCUGCCAUAGAAGUACGCGGGAUCCACCACCGGGCCAUUCUUAGCUUCCAUGUCUCAAACCAGGUAUGGUGUUGUAGAAAUCCUCACAACCCUGAGGGACUCAGAGAACGCUCCGAUAUCCAGAUGGAAAUGUAGUGAUUAUAGUUGAAAUUGGUUGAUUGACUAUUCUGGCAGUUGGUGAAGAAUUAUUAGCUUGUUUAACAGGUGGAAAA